GAUGAACGCUGGCGGCGUGCCUAAUACAUGCAAGUCGAGCGAACAGAUAAGGAGCUUGCUCCUUUGACGUUAGCGGCGGACGGGUGAGUAACACGUGGGUAACCUACCUAUAAGACUGGAAUAACUCCGGGAAACCGGGGCUAAUGCCGGAUAACAUUUAGAACCGCAUGGUUCUAAAGUGAAAGAUGGUUUUGCUAUCACUUAUAGAUGGACCCGCGCCGUAUUAGCUAGUUGGUAAGGUAACGGCUUACCAAGGCAACGAUACGUAGCCGACCUGAGAGGGUGAUCGGCCACACUGGAACUGAGACACGGUCCAGACUCCUACGGGAGGCAGCAGUAGGGAAUCUUCCGCAAUGGGCGAAAGCCUGACGGAGCAACGCCGCGUGAGUGAUGAAGGUCUUCGGAUCGUAAAACGCUGUUAUUAGGGAAGAACAAAUGUGUAAGUAACUGUGCACGUCUUGACGGUACCUAAUCAGAAAGCCACGGCUAACUACGU
rnacentral:rRNA from 1 species